AUUGAACGCUGGCGGCAUGCUUUACACAUGCAAGUCGAACGGUAACAGGGUGCUUGCACCGCUGACGAGUGGCGAACGGGUGAGUAAUGCGUCGGAACGUGCCGAGUAGUGGGGGAUAACGCAGCGAAAGUUGUGCUAAUACCGCAUACGUACUGAGGUAGAAAGUGGGGGACCUUCGGGCCUCACGCUAUUCGAGCGGCCGACGUCUGAUUAGCUAGUAGGUGAGGUAAAGGCUCACCUAGGCGACGAUCAGUAGCGGGUCUGAGAGGAUGAUCCGCCACACUGGGACUGAGACACGGCCCAGACUCCUACGGGAGUCAGCAGUGGGGAAUUUUGGACAAUGGGCGAAAGCCUGAUCCAUCCAUGCCGCGUGUCUGAAGAAGGCCUUCGGGUUGUAAAGGACUUUUGUCAGGGAGGAAAUCCCUAGUGCUAAUAACACUGGGGGAUGACAGUACCUGAAGAAUAAGCACCGGCUAACUACGUGCCAGCAGCCGCGGUAA
rnacentral:rRNA from 1 species